UCCCAUUCGACACGGGCAGUCCGUCUAGAGUGCACCUUUCGGUUAGCAACUAGACGCAAGGGUUUCGCUCGUUACGGGACUUAACCCAACAUCUCACGACACGAGCUGACGACAGCCAUGCAACACCUGAUGAAGGCUCCCCUUGCGGGGUCGUCACCCUUUCAGGCUUCUACUAUGUGCAUGUCAAGGCCAGGUAAGGUUCUUCGCGUUGCAUCGAAUUAAGCCACAUACUCCACCGCUUGUGCAGGCCCCCGUCAAUUUCUUUGAGUUUUAAUCUUGCGACCGUACUUCCCAGGCGGCUUGCUUAACGCGUUAGCUCCGCCACAAGAGGGGUCGAUUCCUCUUACAGCAAGCAAGCACCGUUUAGGGCUAGGACUAC
rnacentral:misc_RNA from 1 species